GACGAACGCUGGCGGCGUGCCUAAUACAUGCAAGUUGAGCGCUGAAGGUUGGUACUUGUACCAACUGGAUGAGCAGCGAACGGGUGAGUAACGCGUGGGGAAUCUGCCUUUGAGCGGGGGACAACAUUUGGAAACGAAUGCUAAUACCGCAUAAAAACUUUAAACACAAGGUUUAUGUUUGAAAGAUGCAAUUGCAUCACUCAAAGAUGAUCCCGCGUUGUAUUAGCUAGUUGGUGAGGUAAAGGCUCACCAAGGCGAUGAUACAUAGCCGACCUGAGAGGGUGAUCGGCCACAUUGGGACUGAGACACGGCCCAAACUCCUACGGGAGGCAGCAGUAGGGAAUCUUCGGCAAUGGACGAAAGUCUGACCGAGCAACGCCGCGUGAGUGAAGAAGGUUUUCGGAUCGUAAAACUCUGUUGGUAGAGAAGAACGUUGGUGAGAGUGGAAAGCUCAUCAAGUGACGGUAACUACCCAGAAAGGGACGGCUAACUACGUG
rnacentral:rRNA from 1 species